rnacentral:lncRNA from 11 species
AGUGAGCAAUCUAUAGCCAGGGUGGAGUAGCUGCAAGUGUAGUAAAGAAACACAAGCUUCUGAGGUGUUGUUGGUGAUGAUGUUGGUGAUAUGUGCUAUUAGAAGAUCAAGCUGCAGAGAAACUGAAGGAUUGGUGAAGAAAACCAGAGAGAGCCUUUUGCCAAGAAGAAGCUGGAAAAGUUACUUUGUGGACAACCAAUAAAAAUAUCCUCCAUACAGCAUGCCUUUUGAGCAGAGAAUUCAGGUUUUGUAGUGCAAUCUUUCCUGUUGGGCGAGGAGGGAGUAUGAAGAAACCCACAAGUCACCUGUCUACAGAAGUCUAUACAGUAUUAAGUCUAUGGACUUGUUGCAGAGGCAGCAGAAGCAGAAAGCACACUUAGCAGAAAUUCUGGUAACCAGCCAUUGAGUCAGACUGAUGACAAAAUGAGUGGGGCAUGGGCAUGGUAGAACUAUGUGGGGCUGGGGCACUCACAAAUGUAAGGUGUAUGUUAUUUUUGAAGCAUCUUAAAUGGGAAACCAGUUUUGCUGUGCAUAUUAUUACAUUG